UGGCGACUGAGCUGCCCUGUCCGCUUGAUUCAGAAGGGUGGUUGUCAGGCGUCCGACGCUCUUCCUCCGGCUGCCCCGCCACCUCCUUCUCCUUUUCCCCCGCAAGAGGUCUGCAACAUCUCUCGGUUCCGCCCCAUCGCCGGCCCCAUUUUUCUCCGCCCGGCGUUUUUGUGCGUCGUAUUCGGUAUGUAGCUUGAUCCUCAAGUCUGAUUUGGUAGUGUGUAGGGAUUUUUCAGUCAGAUCUGCUACUUAUCCCCCUUUGGAUCUCGCAUGUGGUAAUCCCCCGCAGCUAUUUUGAUGCAGAUGCCUUGUUGCGUUUGUUAGUGGUAUUGAAUCUCAUCUGUCUUGUGUGCUAUGUUAGGGAUUACCUUGUAGGUUUUAUUUGAUCUGUUUCAGUUAGUAGUUGGAAUUCUGGUGGUUGUCGUGGGCAGCUGCUAAUUUCGUAUAUGCUGGAUCGUGUUUCAGUGACUUUAGUGCCCUGCUCACCUUGGAUUCUCUAGUGUUUUUGUUUGUGGCUAUAGGUUAUAUAUCCCCUGGGUCGUUUGUUGAUGUAGGUUUAUAUGUAGUGUUUUUUGCGAUUUUGCUUGUAUAGCUAGUCAACAAGCUUAUGUUGUCGUAUGUAGUGUGUUUCGCUUGCAGACUUCAGCUCUGUUCUUUGUGUUUCUGUGAGACAGAAUGUCCUUUUCAUUUUCAGCUAUGUAAAUGUCUGAUUGCUCUACUAGAAAUCCCUGUUUUCUUAGUGGAUUUACAGUGUGUUUUCUUACUGUUUAACACUGUAAUUCUCAGUGGAUUUACAGUGUAAUUUCUUAGCAGAUUUACACUGUAAUUUUAAGUGAAUUUACACUGUAUUUUUUAGUGAAUUUACACUGUAAUUUUCAGUGGAUUUAUAUUGUAUGUUUAUUGGAUUUAUACUGUAAUUUGCAGUGGAUCUACACUGUAGUUCUUAGUGAAUUUACUCUGUAGUUUUUAGUUGAUCUUUCAUUGUAAUCCUAUAAGAAUUACACUAUAUCUCUUGAUUUUUACAGUGUAAUUCUUAGUGGAGUUACACUGUAAUCCUUAGUGUCUUUAUAGUGACUAUUAGUUUUUCUUGGAUUUACCUUGUAUUUGCACUGUUAACUCUUGAUUUUUACAGUGUAAUUUGCAGUGUAUUUACUCUGUAAUUCUUAGUGUAUUUUGGCUAGGGUCUAUUAGUGGGUUUUUACCCUUGUAAUCUGCAUUUGACUAGGGACUAUUAUGUGGAUUAUUCAUGUAUUAUCUUUAGUGGAUUUUAUAGUGUAAUUCUUAUUGGAUUUUAUAGUGUAAUUCUCAGUGGGCUUACAGACACUGUAAUAUUUCAGUGGAUUCUACCCUUAGUGAAUUUGACUAGGGCUGUUAGUUGGUUUUUACCCUUGUACUCUGCAGUUGAGUAGGGUCUAUUAUGUGGAUUUUUUGGUCUGAGCAUUUUUCAGGUAGCCAAUCUCUGUCUUGUUUAAUUUACUUUCAUGCAUUUGGUUGUUUCUUUAUUUUAUUUUUUACCCUGAUGUCAUUUUGGUUUUGCUGUGUAGGUUGCAAAAGUCUCUUGCUCUUGAAUCUACGAAGAAAGCAUCAAAUGAUUCGUCAGUUAGUAAAUCUGCUGGUAAUGUUUUGUCAAACGAGGGUACAAAGGAUGGUCCAAAUUUGGUUUCUUGUGUGUACUAUGUAGUAUCAGUGCUUAGUUUUUUUAGUUCAGUGUGAUCUUCAUAGUAAUUACAUUUAAAAGAUCAUAGUAAUUCUAAGUUCAAGUGGCAGUAAUUUGUUGUUUUAUACAGUUCCAAAGUUUCUAAUAUUCAAUCAUAGUUUCAUUUUGGAUUCUGAGCAGGAACAAAUUGGUUUCUCUAUAUAAUACACUGUAUUUUACACUGUAAUUCCAGUGGUCUAGCACUAGAAUUACAAUUUGCUUACACUGUAAUUCCAGUGGUCUAGCGAUGUAAUUUAAAAUGUAAUUACAAAGGAUUUUUCACCCUGGUCCACUACUGUGAUUUCUAUUGCUUACCACUGAAAUUUUAAUGGUCUAGUACUGUAAUUAUAGUUUGUCUGCCACUGUAAAUUCCUUAUAUGCCAGUGUAAUUUAGUUUGACAGGUUCUUUUUCUGCUCCUCUGUAACCAGUGUAAAAACACUUGUUAGAUUUUGCUAUUGUGUAUGAUCUGCUCAUCUGUGUAUGUUGUACUCCCUCUGUAAAGAAAUAUAAAGGCGUUUAGAUCACUACUUUAGUGAUCUAAACGCUCUUAUAUUUCAUUAUGGAGAGAGUAACAUUCAGUGCACUAGUGAAUGCUAGUUCUUAUUGCUUUUUCUGGUGAUCUCUGGAUUUUAAGUUUAUAACGAGAGUGCUCUGUGGAUUGUGAUCUGCUCUUUUGCUUUGGUAGCAACCUGUAGCUGCUCAAAGUAGAACAAUAUUUUUUGCAUUAGCUCCGAAUUUUUUUGCAGGAUUUCUUUCCCUGUCAUCUUAUAUGUAAAUUUCACAGUGAUAGUACCUUGUACAUCAUUUGCGCUUGAAGUAGUUGAGUAAAAGUGUAUGCCCGACUCUGUUAUUUUGUCAAGAAUCAAGUUAGAAAAGGAUAAUUGAAUAUGUUUGUUCAUUUUUUUCAGUUUCUAAUGCUACAAUAAAGUCAUACAUUAAGGAAAUCAGCUUGGUCAUGUUCGAGUUACAGCUCCUCCACUUUCAUGCUAGAUUCCAUUCCCUUUGAUCCCAUUGCAGGCACCUGUGCAUAUUAUUUAAAAAAAAGUAUAAGUAGUGAAUCGUUAUUGAAUAAACAAGAACUAUCUACAUUGUUUGUGCCAAUAGUAUUAGUGCGUAGCCUGAUAUUUUUCCAGUUUUUUUUAUCUGAUCAUUGUCCUAAUUCAUAUGUAAUGAUCAUUUUAGUUUCAGCGUGUACUCAUUCAAAAUUACAAGUAAAAGGUCAUAGCAUUUCGAGCUUCAAGUACAAAUAAAAG
rnacentral:lncRNA from 1 species